rnacentral:sRNA from 1 species
UGAUGACUUGUACAUAGCACUAAGAUG